GAUGAACGCUGGCGGCGUGCUUAACACAUGCAAGUCGAACGAAGCACCUUGAUUUGAUUCUUCGGAUGAAGAUCUUGGUGACUGAGUGGCGGACGGGUGAGUAACGCGUGGGUAACCUGCCUCAUACAGGGGGAUAACAGUUAGAAAUGACUGCUAAUACCGCAUAAGACCACAGCACCGCAUGGUGCAGGGGUAAAAACUCCGGUGGUAUGAGAUGGACCCGCGUCUGAUUAGGUAGUUGGUGGGGUAACGGCCUACCAAGCCGACGAUCAGUAGCCGACCUGAGAGGGUGACCGGCCACAUUGGGACUGAGACACGGCCCAAACUCCUACGGGAGGCAGCAGUGGGGAAUAUUGCACAAUGGGGGAAACCCUGAUGCAGCGACGCCGCGUGAGCGAUGAAGUAUUUCGGUAUGUAAAGCUCUAUCAGCAGGGAAGAAAAUGACGGUAC
rnacentral:rRNA from 1 species